GAUGAACGCCGGCGGCGUGCCUAAUACAUGCAAGUCGAGCGAACAGACGAGGAGCUUGCUCCUCUGACGUUAGCGGCGGACGGGUGAGUAACACGUGGAUAACCUACCUAUAAGACUGGGAUAACUUCGGGAAACCGGAGCUAAUACCGGAUAAUAUAUUGAACCGCAUGGUUCAAUAGUGAAAGACGGUUUUGCUGUCACUUAUAGAUGGAUCCGCGCCGCAUUAGCUAGUUGGUAAGGUAACGGCUUACCAAGGCAACGAUGCGUAGCCGACCUGAGAGGGUGAUCGGCCACACUGGAACUGAGACACGGUCCAGACUCCUACGGGAGGCAGCAGUAGGGAAUCUUCCGCAAUGGGCGAAAGCCUGACGGAGCAACGCCGCGUGAGUGAUGAAGGUCUUCGGAUCGUAAAACUCUGUUAUUAGGAAAGAACAAAUGUGUAAGUAACUAUGCACGUCUUGACGGUACCUAAUCAGAAAGCCACGGCUAACUACGUG
rnacentral:rRNA from 1 species